UGAAGACCAGGUUGAACUGCACCAGCACGCAGGGCAGGAGGGCGAAGAGCAGGGUCAGCGCCUGCCAGAUGCGGUCCCCCGCCGAGCGGGACCCUAGAAGGACUAGCUCUCUAUAGACUCUUCCACAGAGCUUCCUUCUCAAAGCUCACGACACGCUCUGGACAGCUGCAGAGACUCAUCACCCUUCACAGGGAUCAAGACACUUUUUAAUUGUUUAACAUCCUUUGAUCUCUCAUCUCCCACCACAAAACAGUGGUGUCACUUCGGCUUACACCCUCAAAAGAAACACUGACAUCUGCAGACAAGCUGUUUACUUGCCUACUUCUUAAAAGCUACAAUAAAGUUUGCAACAGGGGACCCAGCAGGACACAAAACAGCAAUGUCUUCUGGAUGGAUGUGAGAAGCCCUGUAUUACAGACAUGAUUAAGCAGGUGAUCCCAAAACAGGAGCCUGAAUGGAAAGAGUGUGAGAUGUGGGCUCUCCAAGGAAACUAGAGGCCUCCUGUUUGGAUUGGAAGGCUUCACGGUUACAAAGAUGGCAAGGGCCUAAUCCUCCACAAUGUUACUUCCAUUUGAUUGGUAUACAACUGUCGUACUGCAGUAGAAGUAUUUUGCUAUCUGCAUCCCUUCCAAACAGUGGCAGCCACAUCACAUUUUUGACACCAUUCCCUGAAGUACUGAUUCUCAAGUGAUACCGUCUAGAAUGGCACUGCACUGUUGCUAAUGCAGACUGGCUGAUGCUUUAACAUCACUAAGAAGAGAAAGGCAGAACACACAGACUGAUGACAGAGAGAGAGGGAGAGGCAAAAAAACAAGAAAGCCAAGCAAUAGCCCGUGAGCACAAUAUGAACCCGGAAAAAUUUAGAGAAGGGGUUUCUGGGUCUGCUGGUUACAGAGGCUGAACGCUCAGAUACUGCUCCUUUUGUUCUUGAUUUCUCCUGUAUUCAGAGAAGCAGAACUUUGUGCAUUUCUUGUAAAUAAACAAGAUUGCAUCAAA